GCGGCGGACGGGUGAGUAACACGUGGGUAACCUGCCUGUAAGACUGGGAUAACUCCGGGAAACCGGGGCUAAUACCGGAUGGUUGUUUGAACCGCAUGGUUCAAACAUAAAAGGUGGCUUCGGCUACCACUUACAGAUGGACCCGCGGCGCAUUAGCUAGUUGGUGAGGUAACGGCUCACCAAGGCAACGAUGCGUAGCCGACCUGAGAGGGUGAUCGGCCACACUGGGACUGAGACACGGCCCAGACUCCUACGGGAGGCAGCAGUAGGGAAUCUUCCGCAAUGGACGAAAGUCUGACGGAGCAACGCCGCGUGAGUGAUGAAGGUUUUCGGAUCGUAAAGCUCUGUUGUUAGGGAAGAACAAGUACCGUUCGAAUAGGGCGGUACCUUGACGGUACCUAACCAGAAAGCCACGGCUAACUACGUGCCAGCAGCCGCGGUAAUACGUAGGUGGCAAGCGUUGUCCGGAAUUAUUGGGCGUAAAGGGCUCGCAGGCGGUUUCUUAAGUCUGAUGUGAAAGCCCCCGGCUCAACCGGGGAGGGUCAUUGGAAACUGGGGAACUUGAGUGCAGAAGAGGAGAGUGGAAUUCCACGUGUAGCGGUGAAAUGCGUAGAGAUGUGGAGGAACACCAGUGGCGAAGGCGACUCUCUGGUCUGUAACUGACGCUGAGGAGCGAAAGCGUGGGGAGCGAACAGGAUUAGAUACCCUGGUAGUCCACGCCGUAAACGAUGAGUGCUAAGUGUU
rnacentral:rRNA from 1 species